rnacentral:lncRNA from 10 species
AGGAAUCUCCAGGACCUUAUCUACAAUCUCAACAGUCGCGGCAACGAUCUCUGGGAGUGAUCGAGGCAUUCGGGCUGCCCCGUGCCUCCCGGGCAGCGAUCUAACGAUAAAACCUGACAGUGUCCUGGGGAAAACCCCACAUCCACCGCUAGCGCUACAUUCGGGCUUUAUGCCAAUAAGGAGACACUGUAGACUAUCGAUCAGACUCGUCUGCUCUCAGAGCGUGCGGCCGGGCUUCCAGCCUGGCCUUUAGGCGCGGUGGCGGCGGUGGGACACGCGCCAGGCGCCCAGAGAAGGACAUGGGACAAUGGCCCAGCCCGAGGACGCCAGACGCCGCCGCCCGACCCGGGGAAGGAAGCUCCUGCAGCCGGUCCGGGAACCCGAGGCGGGGAGGGAGGCCAGCUCUGGAGGUGCGCUGCCGCUUUAAAAUAAAGGACCACAAAGACUGUACAGUGGGGAAAACGCGCCUGGCUAAUGCGAGUGGGGACGACUUGGGGAGGGGGUUGAGGAAGGUAGGGGGCACACGAGCCAACGGCGGCUCACGGCUCCCCCUCUCUCCCGCCUCUCUCCUUCCUCCCUCCCCGCCGGGCUGCUCCGGCAGACAAAUAACAGAGGAAGGCGAGUCACUCACCGUGGUCUUGACAGGCACGUAGAGCACUUGCUUGGCGCCGCCGCCUCCCCCGCGGACCUCGUCCGGCUGGCCCAGCUGGAAGCCCUUCGAUUUGACCCAGAAUUUAAAUUUGGCGUUGUCCGUGGAGCUCGACUCGGAGCCAUUGAGGAGCUGGACGAUCCGUUCGUAUUUUUUACGGGUCACCGUCUUGGUCUUGCCUGAGUCCCCAGCUGGAAAUAGGGGAGUUCCCAUCCUCCUCGCGCGGCGGCUGCGGCCGCUCCUCUUUAUUCUACUCUCACCCGAGGCCCGCGCCCGUCCCGGGGAGCGGCUCUGCCAGGAAAACGGCCCGACCAGUGCCCGGCGCCUGGGCUGCGUCCGAGCCCACCUUCUUCCCUCGUCGUCGUCUCCCAGACUAAAUCCCGGAAAGGGAAAGCGGGAUGUUUGCGCCCACCGCGCUGUAGCUGGUCCUGACACUUGCAAA